GUCUUAUUGAUAAUAAUUUUAAGUCGACCUGCCCAAUGAGUACUUGAAUGGCUGCAGUAUAACUGACUGUACAAAGGUAGCAUAAUCAAUUGGUUUUUAAAUGAAAUCUGGAAUGAAAGGAUUAAUGAAAUAUACACUGUCUCAUAUAUAUUUCAUGAAUUUAAAAUUUUAAUUAAAAUGUUAAAAUUUGUUUAUGGGACGAUAAGACCCUAUAGAAUUUUAUACUUUCAAAUCUUAGUAGUUAAUACAAAAAAUUUGAAAGUAUUUGGUUGGGAGGACUAUUAAAUUUUAUAAACUUUAAUUUAUGCUAACUUUAAUUAAAGAAAAAUUUUUUAACGACCCUCAAUUUGGGAUAGCUAGAGUAAAUUACCUUAGGGAUAACAGCGUAAUAUUUUUUUAUAGAUCGUAUAGAAAAAAGUGAUUGCGACCUCGAUGUUGAAUUAAGAUAAAUUUUAAACGCAGGAGUUUAAUAAUUAAGUCUGUUCGACUUUUGAAAUCUUACAUGAUUUGAGUUCAAAUCGACGUAAGU
rnacentral:rRNA from 1 species